rnacentral:rRNA from 1 species
CCCUUUGUGACAUACCUAUAACUGUUGCUUCGGCGGGUAGGGUCUCCGUGACCCUCCCGGCCUCCCGCCCCCGGGCGGGUCGGCGCCCGCCGGAGGAUAACCAAACUCUGAUUUAACGACGUUUCUUCUGAGUGGUACAAGCAAAUAAUCAAAACUUUUAACAACGGAUCUCUUGGUUCUGGCAUCGAUGAAGAACGCAGCGAAAUGCGAUAAGUAAUGUGAAUUGCAGAAUUCAGUGAAUCAUCGAAUCUUUGAACGCACAUUGCGCCCGCCAGCAUUCUGGCGGGCAUGCCUGUUCGAGCGUCAUUUCAACCCUCAAGCUCUGCUUGGUGUUGGGGCCCUACAGCUGAUGUAGGCCCUCAAAGGUAGUGGCGGACCCUCCCGGAGCCUCCUUUGCGUAGUAACUUUACGUCUCGCACUGGGAUCCGGAGGGACUCUUGCCGUAAAACCCCCAAUUUUCCAAAGGUUGACCUCGGAUCAGGUAGGAAUACCCGCUGAACUUAAGCAUAUCAA